GCCUUUCCCGGGACCGGGAGGCGGGGACUGGGAGAGGCGUUCGGACGCUAUUACCGGGUUGGGCGGGUCGGGCCGGGGAGGGGUUUGGGGGUGAGCCCUGGGUCCCCCGCCCGCUGAGGAGAUGGAUGAGGAUGGGCUCCCUCUCAUGGGCUCAGGCAUAGACCUGACUAAGGUGCCAGCUAUUCAACAGAAAAGAACGGUGGCAUUUCUAAACCAGUUUGUGGUGCACACUGUACAGUUCCUCAACCGCUUUUCUACAGUUUGUGAGGAGAAACUAGCAGACCUUUCUCUUCGUAUCCAGCAGAUUGAAACAACUCUCAAUAUUUUAGAUGCAAAGUUAUCAUCUAUCCCGGGCCUAGAUGAUGUCACAUUUGAAGUAUCUCCUGUAAAUGUCACUAGGAUCACAAAUGGAACACACUCUGAAGCCACUUCAGAGCAAUCACAGCAGAACAGUUUACAAGACUCUGGACCACAGGAAAGUGAAGUAACACCAGAAAAUAUCUUAACUGUAGCCAAGGAUCCAAGAUAUGCCAGAUAUCUCAAAAUGGUUCAAGUGGGUGUUCCAGUGAUGGCAAUAAGAAACAAAAUGAUAUCGGAAGGACUAGACCCAGAUCUUCUUGAGAGACCAGACGCUCCAGUGCCUAAUGGUGAAGGUGAAAAAAACACAGAAGAAAGUUCAGAUAAUGAAUCUUCUUUUAGUGAGAUUCCCAGGGAUUGAGAUACAGGCCAGGGAUUACCACCACCCUGCUUAUCCUGUCAACGAGGUCAGAAUCCUACAUUUCCAAUCUACAAAAUCCAAGUUAAUAUUCAACUUCCGUCCUUGUUCUUGUUCCAUGGAGGGGAGCUGCCUGCUAAUCUGAAAACACCUUUGUUUCUGAUGGGCAGUUUCCCAUUCAUGCUUUUCACAGCAGAGCUAUCAAGAAUUGACUCUCACACCUCAGCAUGUCCCAAGACAAAUUCAUCACCAUCUUUUUAAGCCUGUUCUUUUGGACUUUUCUAGUUCAUUCUGGAAAGUUCAUCACUUGGAGUUAUACCCAACACGUCCUUCUCCAUCGCUCCUGACAAAAAUAAGUUGCCACGUCCUCUUAUUCUACUUCUGCAGUAUCUCUGACAAUCACCCCUUCUCUGCUGUUCUCACUGCCUACAUCCUAGUUCAGACCCAUAUUGUCUCCCACUUGUGUCCCUGGAAUUACCUCAGCCCUAUUUCCCUUUAACUCCUAAAUUCCAACAUUCACCAAGAUUUCUAAAGCCCAGCUCAAAGCAUGUCACCUCCCAGCUCAAAAACCCUCAGUUACUCCCCAUCACUUAAUAAACAAAAUCCAGACUCUAGCCUGACAGCCAAAGCCCACCCAUGAUGUGACCCCAAUAUAAUGUUAUAAUGUGAUCUCCCUACUCCCCUCCAUGUACUACAGUCAAAAUGUACUAGUUGUCCCCCUGAUACGCCCUGCCCAUCUUAGCAUCUGGCCUUUGUCUGUGGUGUUUUUGUCUCUUUAACUUCUUGCUAAAUGAAAUAUGACCCCAUCCUUCAAGUCCCAGUCACAACCACUGCCUCUUCCAUGAAGACUUUCUGCAUUUUCCAGCAGGAAAUAAUCUUUUAGUCCUUGUAUAUACAUUUUUGUAUUUUUGUUCUAAUCCUUACUACAGCUUAUAUUGCAAGCUUCUUUGUGUAUGUAUGUGUGUCAAUAUCUUGUAUCUGCUCAGAUAAUAAAGUUCAUUUCAUUGAUGAA